rnacentral:rRNA from 1 species
UACGUAGGGUGCAAGCGUUAAUCGGAAUUACUGGGCGUAAAGCGUGCGCAGGCGGUUAUGCAAGACAGAGGUGAAAUCCCCGGGCUCAACCUGGGAACUGCCUUUGUGACUGCAUAGCUAGAGUACGGUAGAGGGGGAUGGAAUUCCGCGUGUAGCAGUGAAAUGCGUAGAUAUGCGGAGGAACACCGAUGGCGAAGGCAAUCCCCUGGACCUGUACUGACGCUCAUGCACGAAAGUGUGGGGAGCAAACAGG